rnacentral:rRNA from 1 species
AACGAACGCUGGCGGCAGGCUUAACACAUGCAAGUCGAACGCGUGCAGCAAUGCACGAGUGGCGCACGGGUGAGUAACGCGUGGAUAUCUGCCUUCUGGUUCGGAAUAACCCCGGGAAACUGGGGCUAAUACCGAAUGGUUCCUACGGGAUAAAGAUUUAUCGCCAGAAGAUGAGUCCGCGUCCGAUUAGCUAGUUGGUGAGGUAACGGCUCACCAAGGCGACGAUCGGAGCUGGUCUGAGAGGACGAUCAGCCACACUGGGACGUGAGACACGGCCCACGACUCCUACGGGAGGGCAGCAGUGGGGAAGUAUUGGACAAUGGGCGAAAGCCUGAUCCAGCCAUGCCGCGUGAGUGAUGAAGGCCUUAGGG